rnacentral:lncRNA from 1 species
UGUUGAACUGAAGAGAAGAUGGAGCUUGUACAAUAAUAGGGCAAGCUCUAGAAGAUGUCAAGAAGAGUUCAAUCAAGCUUCAGAGAUGUUCUGAAGUAGUUAUCUUGUGAAGUUAAGUCAAGGAAAGACUUAGACUGAUCAUGUGAAGGCUUUGGAGAAGUUAGAGAGAAGAUGGAAGUAUGGUGCAAAGAUAGGGCCAGUACGGCCAUGAUAGGGCAAGUACGGCCAUGGUACGGCCUAGGGAGAUCCAAGAAGGUAUAUGGGUCGACCAUAGAAGAUGUUUGGAUGAAGGUGCAGAUAUAGGGCGAGUGUACGGACCUCAAGGCCGUACAUCGACCGUACAUCCCAUCCGGUUCGACCAAAUACCCGGAUCAGCUUAGUUUGGUGAUGUGCAAUGUGUGGGCGUGGAUUAUCCUUCCUUAUGUGACCAUUGGGGAGUCUUGGAGGCAAAGGAAGAUUCAAAUGGAUAAGGUGAGCUGUUGGUAUGAGCUGGAAAGGUAAAGGUGCUUUACCUUUACAGCCUUGACUCAUCUGAUCCAUCCAAUUCAAAUGAAGCAAUCUGAGCCCUCCAUUCAGUCCAACCACGACCAGCUAGCACCAGAACAUCAAAGACCAGCUUCCUCUCAUCCUAACCAUCAAUUUAUCUUUAAUCUACAGCCCUAUGAUCUAGGUUUAUGAUCUGAGUUGUGUAAAGGCAUAUAUAAGCCUCUUAUGAUCAUUUUGUAAUCUUUAAGUGAGUAAGGGGGUUUCCCUUCUCCUUCUCUGAUCUAAAACACGUUCUUAGUCUCUCUAGUCUCAUCCUGAAUCUAUAUACACGUUCUCAGUCUUGUUACUAAUCUCUUAAACACUUAGACACACAAACACUCAUUAGACUUCUCUUCUCUCAAAUCGCUUCCAAGCUCUCUCUCUUUACCCAUUUGGGUUUCAUACACACAUACAACCUGAGUUCUCUUAAAUCUCACAUGGUAUCAGAGCCAGGUUCAUUAGAACUUGGUUCCAGCUUCCGCUCAAGCACAAGCUCACUCCCAUGCCAUUUCAAGCCAAGAAGAAGCUUCAUGGUCCAGCCGGCUGUUCAACCUCUUCAAGAAGAAGAUGUGCUCAUCCAUGGUGUCCAGGAGCUGUCCUUGGUCGUUCUACACUCUCUCAUGUCCGUCCUGAAGAAAGAAAGCCAUUGGAAGCAUGUCCAAGCCUUUCCUAUUCUCUGUCCAAGGAGAACCUUUCAAGAAGAAAGCCUUCUACUGGUGACUUGUGGUGGCGACUCAAACAUGGUGAAAGGAGGUGUCUUUGGCAUGGUGGGUUCAAGGAGAAAGGCCAGGCAAAGAAGGAGAUGUUGGUUCUCAAACCAACAGCUCAGAUCUGGCCAGUUAUGAUUCAUAUUGCCUUGGAGGUUCAAGGAACCAGCACAGGUUCCUUGGUUGUAAGCUAAACCUCCUUCCCUUGUUUAAAGCUUGUGUCUUUAUGUUAUGGUUGUGUUGUGUGGUGUGGUUAAGUCCUGCGGAUUCUGUUUUACAUCAUAUUGUGUGAUUGCUAAAAUGAAGUUGCUUUAGAAUCUGUCCCAGGAUACUUUUAAAAGUCUCGUUUAGGUAUUGAAAUGGUUUAGUAUGCUUAGCUCCGGUUCAUAGUGAUGCUUGUUGUGCUUAAUUAAAUCUGCUUGCAUACAUGAAGUGAAACCGAAUUUAAAGCCGUUGCAUAUAGUCUUGUGGCUGUCUUACAUUGAAGUAUUAGAUUCAUGUCUAAGUACUGAGUAAAGAAGCUCUUAAGAAUGCCUAAGUAACUUGUCUUGAAUCUGUUAGGAUCCUGCUUGUACUUAGAGAGUUAGCUUGCAAAGAAUAAAACUUGAUAAUGCCUUGUGUCUAUCUGUUGCAUUGCUUGUGAUAGUAGGAAUCAAACUUGAUAAGUUAUUAAUCAAGAUUUGACAUCAAUACUAUUGAAAAUGGUUAAAUGCUUAAUGUCAGUUCUAAAUAAAAAUGUCUUGUUAAGAUGAUAGAUUAUAUUAUCUAAUCAUGCUUGCCUUCAUGAGUUAGAAACUGAGUAAGAUUAAUGCAUACUGCCCCUGUUUAUUGUUGCAUUUAGAUUAAAGUCUAAGUUGCAUAUUAAGGAAUGGUUAAAAUUGCCUAAAUACUUUGACUUGAAUCUGAUAAGGUCUUGCUUAGUAUUUAGAGAAUGGUAGCUUGCAUAGAUAAGAACUUGACAUUGUCUUGAUUCUAUCUAAUGCUAUAAAGCUUGAGACAUUGGUGAUCAAACUUGAUGAAGUCAAGGAUUGAUCCCAAUGCAAUUGUGUCUUAUCUUUGCUAGAGUUUUAGUGAUGUUUCAGGUUCAACAAAGGUGUUCCUAGUUCAUCAUCAAAUCCGAGUUGAAAGAGAAAGAAUGAUGCCCAUUGUGUGUACAAUGGAGAGGUGUUACAAGAAGGGAGAAGCACAGAUGGUUGUAAAACUCACUGGUGUUCUUCUUCUCAACAUUGCAAGUACCAGAAGAAGAAGCCAACCGGGUCUAGGCAGUGGCGUGCCUAUUCAAGAGGGUGCUCAAACUAAGACAGAGCACUCUUGGCUGUGUGAAGAAGAAGGCUACUCUAUCAAGGCGGCUUCUAUUGUGAGGUGAUUGAAGAAGUAGCUGAAGCAUCCACAAGCAUUCCAUCAUGGUGGUGAAUUCAGAAGGGUGAUUGCAGUAAGAGAAGAAGAAGAAGUAAGGAUUCAAGUGGUAACGUUGAGAACCACUCCUCAUCAUCUUAACCAAGGGAGUAAACCUAAUCUCAUCUAUCUUAAUAUGUCUUGAUAGGUUUAUCUCCUGACUAUACUAUGUGCUUUCCCUAAAUUCCAUUAAGAGUUUAUAGCUUCUAGUAGAAUGUCUAGGCUAAUUGCACUAAAAUUGUGUUGCUGCUGCAUUGUCUUAUUGAUAAUAAGUAAUGUCUAGAGUCCCAGAAUCUCAUGGUCUGUUUAUUGCAUUGUCUUGGGUGUGGUCAUAAACUUGAAUCAUCAUGAAUGUGUUGUAGAAUUGGGUAGAAUGUCUCUGCUACUUGCAUCAUGAUUAAUAAGUUAUUUUGCAUACAUAAGCAUAUCUCAUACUGUCUAAGUUCAAUCCUAGUGUUAUCUGAUGCUAUUGCCUAUGUUUAAUCCAUCAAUGAAAGUCUUGCAUCAAUUAGAAAUUGUCUAAGUUGCUUGCAUCAUUGGGUCUGAUUGAAACUGUUGUGGAUAGCUUUAAUAUUAAUCAUGGAUUGAACCUGUUGCAUUCAUAGCUAAUGCUUUAAGAUUGUGCAUUCAGGUAGUAAUGCAUUUAAAAAAUGAGCCUAAAUUGCAAAUGUACUGAUGUAAGCUUGCAUUGCAUUUAGAGAACUUAAUAAUCAUAAUAACCUAGGAUGUCAAUGUAGUGUCUAGAACUUGCAUUGUCAUUGUUAGAGAUUGAAAUCUGCUUGUCUUGACUCAGUCCAGUUCUGAUUGUUGCUAUGCCAUAGUUAAAUCCAUCAGUGAUGUCUUAUAAGCAUUUAGAAGUAUGUCUAAGCUAUUUGAAUCAUUGACUUUGAUAAAACUAGUGAGCAUAAGCAUGAAUUGAGUCACUCUUGUUGCCUUGAUUGCAUAAGUAUCAUCUAGGCUUGUGUUUCAUUUUGGGUUGAAUCUAUUUCAUUCAUAUAGUGAGUAUGUAACCUAAUGCAUUCAUCUAUUGUUGCAUUUAAAAAAAAAAAAAAAAAAAAAAAAAAAAAACUGAAUUGAUUGUCUUUGCUUGAUUGUCUUGAUUGUCUAGCUUGUUUCAAGUAUCAUAUUAUUGUGGCAUUGGUGAUCAAACAGGAUGGAUAAUCUUGGUUUGAUCCCAAUGGGAUGAUCUGAUCUUGCAUUGAGUUGUGGUGGUGUUAGGUACACAAGGAAAUGUGAUACAUGUAACUCGCCAACAACCAAGAAUGUAAAGACAAGGGUCUUGCGCCAUUGCAUAUCAUCACUAGGACAUGUUAGUCCAUAAUCUACAGGAAGUGUAGUGUGAUUGAAUAUACAAUGAGAGAUGGCCAUUGCAUAAUACCAUUGGACAUAUCUAGUCCUUAGUCUACAGGAAGUGUAGCAUGGGUCAUUAUGCAAUGAGAGGUGUGUCUUGUGAGACUCUCCAUGGUGAUUCAAACACCCUAGUUCCUGGUUAAGGAAGAGAGUAAACUCACAAGAAGAAAGCUAUCAUGAAAGAUGAUAGUUAUUAGACCAUGGAGAUGCAUAGGAUCAUCACAAGCUUAGCUCCUUAUAGUCUCGGUUCUAAGCUUGAGGGGGAGUCUUAAUGCAUAUGAUCCAUGGUCAGUAACAAGUCUUUGCAAAGGCUUCUACAAAGGAUCAUCAACCGGACCAAGUCAGUGGCGUGUCUAGGUAAGAGGCUGUUCAGAGCAGUCUUGGCGAGUGAGGAAGAAGGCUCUCCAUCAAUGCGGCUUCAAUGAGAGGUGAUUGAGGAGAAGCUGAUGAAUCCAUUCUGCCUUUCCAAGAAGUUGAUGAUGCCAUGAAGAUGGUGCAUUGGCCGAGUUAGGAAACUCACAAAAACACAAGGGAAGUUCCCUUAGACUUUUUAAACUCUUUCUUCAAUCUGUGUCAUUCAUCUUAUUCAUUACUUGUGCUUGAAAAGAUACUUAAGAUGAUCAUGAUUGAAUUAUGGGAUUGUGUGCAUCAAGUGUGAUGCAGGAUAUUCAUUUUCUUGUUCUUGAUAGGUACUGAUGCACCUUUGGGAUAAUGUAUCAGGUACCAUUGCUUGAGCCUCACUAAAGAUGUUCCUGGUCAUUUCCUAGCUUCUCUAAGGUGGCUGUGAAGCCUGUUGAGAGGGGGAGAUCCAAACCAGUUCUAUGAAGAGGGCAAGCAUAGUUUGAAGUCUUGCUUAGCCUCACUGAUGUUUAAAGAUGAUCCGGUCGCAUCCUUGCCUUUCUAAGAAGGCUAUAGAUCCGGUCGCAUCCUUGCAUUUCUAAGAAGGUUAUGAAGCUUGUUGAGAGGGGGAGUCCCAAACCGGUUCCAUGAAGAGGUGAAGCUCAGGUGUGAAGUGUGCGCAAACCUGUGAAGUAUUGCUGCACCUAUUAGGCCAGGUGAAGUGUGAAGUGUGCGCAAAGCUGUGAAGAGUUGCUGCACCUAUUAGGCCGUGAUCCAGAGUUUCUUGUGUCCAACCACAUUGGUUCUAAGGCACAAGAGCUCACUGGCCAAUCCCUAGGCUUUGGAGAGCUCUACUCUUUUUCCCUUGCAAGGUUUUGUCCCAAUGGGUUUUCCUUGUAAGUUUUUUAAUGAGGGAGACUCUUCAGAGUUCCAAGCUUGGCUUAGGAUCUCCUAAAGUCAAGCAUGAGGGGGAGUGUUGAACUGAAGAGAAGAUGGAGCUUGUACAAUAAUAGGUCAAGCUCUAGAAGAUGUCAAGAAGAGUUCAAUCAAGCUUCAGAGAUGUUCUGAAGUAGUUAUCUUGUGAAGUUAAGUCAAGGAAAGACUUAGACUGAUCAUGUGAAGGCUUUGGAGAAGUUAGAGAGAAGAUGGAAGUAUGGUGCAAAGAUAGGGCCAGUACGGCCAUGAUAGGGCAAGUACGGCCAUGGUACGGCCUAGGGAGAUCCAAGAAGGUAUAUGGGUCGACCAUAGAAGAUGUUUGGAUGAAGGUGCAGAUAUAGGGCGAGUGUACGGACCUCAAGGCCGUACAUCGACCGUACAUCCCAUCCGGUUCGACCAAAUACCCGGAUCAGCUUAGUUUGGUGAUGUGCAAUGUGUGGGCGUGGAUUAUCCUUCCUUAUGUGACCAUUGGGGAGUCUUGGAGGCAAAGGAAGAUUCAAAUGGAUAAGGUGAGCUGUUGGUAUGAGCUGGAAAGGUAAAGGUGCUUUACCUUUACAGCCUUGACUCAUCUGAUCCAUCCAAUUCAAAUGAAGCAAUCUGAGCCCUCCAUUCAGUCCAACCACGACCAGCUAGCACCAGAACAUCAAAGACCAGCUUCCUCUCAUCCUAACCAUCAAUUUAUCUUUAAUCUACAGCCCUAGGAUCUAGGUUUAUGAUCUGAGUUGUGUAAAGGCAUAUAUAAGCCUCUUAUGAUCAUUUUGUAAUCUUUAAGUGAGUAAGGGGGUUUCCCUUCUCCUUCUCUGAUCUAAAACACGUUCUUAGUCUCUCUAGUCUCAUCCUGAAUCUAUAUACACGUUCUCAGUCUUGUUACUAAUCUCUUAAACACUUAGACACACAAACACUCAUUAGACUUCUCUUCUCUCAAAUCGCUUCCAAGCUCUCUCUCUUUACCCAUUUGGGUUUCAUACACACAUACAACCUGAGUUCUCUUAAAUCUCAC